rnacentral:rRNA from 1 species
GCUAAAAAUCUAGCCUAUCAACUUCUUAUACCUAUUUUACUAAUAAAUUUAAGCAAAACAUUCUCAACUUCUAGUAAAGGCGAUAGAAAAAAUUCUUAGAGCUUUAACUUAAGUACCGCAAGGGAAUGAUGAAAUAUUAUGAAAAAUUUAAGCAUAAAAAAGUAAAGGUUAACUCUUG